CAAACGACUCUCGGCAACGGAUAUCUCGGCUCACGCAUCGAUGAAGAACGUAGCAAAAUGCGAUACUUGGUGUGAAUUGCAGAAUCCCGUGAACCAUCGAGUUUUUGAACGCAAGUUGCGCCCGAUGCCAUUCGGCUGAGGGCACGUCUGCCUGGGCGUCACGC
rnacentral:rRNA from 1 species